GUUGCCAUGCAGAAUGUCUGUUGGUCAGUUGGGCACAUCUGCACACAUUUACAAUAUCUGCCACCUCUUUUAACCCUCAACCCCGCCCCACAAAAUGAGUGAUGGUGCUUGUUGAUUUGCAGAUUCACAGUCUGGUGAGACAAGUUUGAGAUCUCAUAUUUUCAGCUCAUCCUUGAAAACCUUUCUUCGAUUUGACUGACCUUGAUGGCUCCCUGGAAUCUCACCUACAUUUUAUGGGAAAUUCAACUCUCCAGAGAGAAGAGCUUUCAGAUAGCUGCGGGACUUGCAACUGUGACUUUCAGCUUUCGCUUUUGAAUGAGGCUCCAAAUGUCUCAAUGGUGGCACUAUUUCCAGAUUUGGGACAUUAAGUUUUGCAAAAUUAAAUGACUACAUUUACAGUCAUGGAGGAGAGACAUUGCCUCAACUCGGUUUCUUCUGAUGUGUCUUUGAAACAGAGCCCUGCAAAGCUAAUCUGCUCAACCUUCACCUACUGGGUUCAAUGAAUAUGAAAAGCUGCCUUCCUGAAACUUUUCCUUCAAAGAGGGAAUGAUCUCCUGGAAUUCAAGCUUCUACAAGAGAACUGUGUGCAGGCCCAAGGAGAACAACUACAUGAAAUAAACCUUAUGUUUUCAGUUACAAUAA
ensembl:lncRNA ADAMTS9-AS1 ADAMTS9 antisense RNA 1